rnacentral:lncRNA from 1 species
CGGGCUCACAAAGCGGCCGGACGCACGGCGGCGGCGGCGGCGGCGGCAGCGGCAGCGGCAGGUGCGCAGGGGAACGAGCCGGGCAGCAGCCUUCCCAGCCACCGCGGUACAGGAACACCAGCAACUCGGGCGCCGGGACUCGGGCGGGCUCCCAAGAUGCCAGCGAUCGCGGUGCUCGCGGCGGCUGCCGCGGCGUGGUGCUUCCUCCAAGUGGACAGCCGGCACCUGGACGCGCUGGCCGGUGGCGCGGCCCUCAACAACGCCAAUUUCCUAGACAAUGACCAGUGGCUGAGCACCGUCUCCCAGUAUGACCGUGACAAGUACUGGAACCGCUUCCGAGAUG